rnacentral:rRNA from 1 species
UGAGGAAUAUUGGGCAAUGGGCGCAAGCCUGACCCAGCCAUGCCGCGUGAAGGAUGAAUGCCCUAUGGGUUGUAAACUUCUUUUUUACGGGAAGAAACUCCUGAACGUGUUCGGGAUUGACGGUACCGUAUGAAUAAGCAUCGGCUAACUCCGUGCCAGCAGCCGCGGUAAUACGGAGGAUGCAAGCGUUAUCCGGAUUUAUUGGGUUUAAAGGGUGCGUAGGCGGGAUAAUAAGUCAGUGGUGAAAGCCUGUAGCUUAACUAUAGAAUUGCCAUUGAUACUGUUGUCCUUGAGUACAGUUGAGGUAGGCGGAAUGUGUAAUGUAGCGGUGAAAUGCUUAGAUAUUACACAGAACACCGAUUGCGAAGGCAGCUUACUAAGCUGGUACUGACGCUGAGGCACGAAAGCGUGGGGAGCAAACAGG